UGGGCAAACCCGCCGAAAGGCGGGGACGCAAAGCCAAGGGUCUAAAGCCGAUGGGGGUAUGACAGCCGGUUGCA
rnacentral:ncRNA from 1 species